AUUGAACGCUGGCGGCAGGCUUAACACAUGCAAGUCGAACGAGUGGCGGACGGGUGAGUAAUGCUUGGGAAUCUAGCUUAUGGAGGGGGAUAACUACGGGAAACUGUAGCUAAUACCGCGUACCAUAGGAUGAGCCCAAGUGGGAGUCGGUAGUUUGUGAGGUAAAGGCUCACCAAGCCGACGAUCUCUAGCUUGUCUGAGGGGAUGACCAUCCACACUGGGACUGAGACACGGCCCAUACUCCUACGGUAGGCAGCAGUGGGGAAUAUGGCGCAAUGGGGGCAACCCUGACGCAGCCAUGCCGCGUGUAUGAAGAAGGCCUUCGGGUUGUAAAGUACUUUCAGUCGGGAGGCGUUACCGACAGAAGAAGCACCGGCUAACUCCGUGCCAGCAGCCGCGGUAAUUC
rnacentral:rRNA from 1 species